rfam:Loxodonta africana unplaced genomic scaffold scaffold_23, whole genome shotgun sequence.
GCAGUGGUAAUUCAAUGGUAGAAUUCUCACCUUUCAUGUGAGAGACCUGGGUUUGAUUCCCAGUCAAUGCA